rnacentral:rRNA from 1 species
UACAGAGGGUGCGAGCGUUGUUCGGAAUUAUUGGGUGUAAAGCGCUGGUAGGUGGCUUGAAAAGUCGCGUGUGAAAUCUUCCGGCUCAACCGGAAAAGUGCGCGCGAAACUGGCGAGCUUGAGUGCCGGAGAGGGUCGCGGAAUUCCCGGUGUAAAGGUGAAAUUCGUAGAUAUCGGGAGGAACACCAGAGGCGAAGGCGGCGACCUGGAAGGUGACUGACACUGAGCAGCGAAAGCGUGGGUAGCAAACAGGAUUAGAAACCCCGGUAC